AUUGAACGCUGGCGGCAGGCUUAACACAUGCAAGUCGAGCGAGCGGCGGACGGGUGAGUAAUGUCUGGGAAACUGCCUGAUGGAGGGGGAUAACUACUGGAAACGGUAGCUAAUACCGCAUACCAUCGGAUGUGCCCAGAUGGGAUUAGCUAGUAGGUGGGGAAAAGGCUCACCUAGGCGACGAUCCCUAACUGGUCUGAGAGGAUGACCAGCCACACUGGAACUGAGAAACGGUCCAGACUCCUACGGGAGGCAGAAGGGGGGAAUAUUGGAAAAUGGGCGAAAGCCGGAUGCAGCCAUGCCGCGUGUAUGAAGAAGGCCUUCGGGUUGUAAAGUACUUUCAGCGGGGAGGCGUUACCCGAAGAGGAAGCACCGGCUAACUCCGUGCCAGCCGCCGCGGUAAUAC
rnacentral:rRNA from 1 species